rnacentral:rRNA from 1 species
GACGGGGGGGGCAAGUGUUCUUCGGAAUGACUGGGCGUAAAGGGCACGUAGGCGGUGAAUCGGGUUGAAAGUGAAAGUCGCCAAAAAGUGGCGGAAUGCUCUCGAAACCAAUUCACUUGAGUGAGACAGAGGAGAGUGGAAUUUCGUGUGUAGGGGUGAAAUCCGUAAAUAUACGAAGGAACGCCAAAAGCGAAGGCAGCUCUCUGGGUCCCUACCGACGCUGGGGUGCGAAAGCGUGGGGAGCGAACAGG